AUUUUCAUAGCCUUUGUAAUGGUAAGCUCUGUUUUUCUGGGAGAUUGGGCAUCCUCUUAAAAUUCAGUCCAUCCUUGACGAUAUCCUUUGCCCAAUUUCUGUAUUUCUGCAAAUUUCAGUUCUGCCAAGAUGGUAUGAUGGCUUAUAGGCUGGGAGCUCUGAGAGUCACCUCCAACUAAUGAUUCAAUUAUCCUCUGAGAAAGCAAAUAGCUCAAAUUUUUCCCUCAGGCAUGGGUAUAAGUUUUUGGUCUCAAUCUAGACUUGAUCAAGUCAGAAACACAAUAUACAGUUUCAAAGACUAUAACCAAUAAUUUAAAUUGAAUCUAAAAGAAAAUAGACAACCACUAUGAAACAAAAUUAGUGCACUGCCUCUCCUUCUGCAGUUGGAUCUAUUUAUAUUCAAGGCAUUAACAAAGAAUAUAUACUCCUAAGAUAGCUCUAAACUAGAAAGUACUUUCUUCCCCUCUUUCAAAUAUUUAGGCAUAUGGAUGUGUUUACAUAUCCACUUAAUAUUUCUACAAACUAUUGUGAUUCAGCUAACCCAGUGAUGAGAAAACUUUUAGAGACUGAAUGCCCAAACUUUAACCCUCACACUACAUGUGAGCCCCUCUCUCAACCAAGACAGGGUAGGGAGGAGGCAUUCCCAUUGGGCUGUAGAACAGAGGGUUUGGUGAUGAGAAAAAUGUCCUCAGGCACACAUGGAAAGUGGGAAGGGAAAAGAACCCUCUGGCAUACAUGAUGUAGAUUCACUAACAUGGCUAAGGAAUGCUGCAUCUCUUUGUACUCUAGGACAGUGAUGGCAAACCUUUUAGAUGGGUGGGUGAUAUGAAAAAUGUCCUCAGACAUGCACAAAGAGGGAGAGAGAAGCAAUCUAGCCCUGCCUCUCUGGCUUUUGUGGAUGAAUAAAUUGGAGAAAACCUGCAACAGAGCCAAAGUAGUAAAGUUUGCAAAAGCUGUCAUUCAAGAAUCAUUCUGGAAUGGAAUGUGACUGGAGGGAGACUGUUGAAGGGAAACAUCCAAACUGUUGGAGUUGUCACUUUCUCCUGAGACAGGAAGGAGUAAGGACUGAGAAUAUCUUCUUCUUACUGAAUUUAUAUCUUCUCUAUAAAGAAUCACAGCAGGCAAGCAGGGGAAGUCAGAAUGACUUUCUUGUCUUCCAUCUUUCUAUCUCCUCAGUCCCUCAUAACAUUGCUGAGUUUGGUAAUAAAAGAGAAGAAAAGAUUCUUCUAGGAACUAUGAAAUUGGAAUUGAAAUUUUCACUUUUAACAGAAAAAUAGUUGCAUCUAUUUUCCAGAGUUUUUGCAGUAAUCCUCAGUCUAUAACCCAAUCAUAUAUAGAGGGAAAGAUGAUCAAGAUGAUCCAUGAGCAUCAGUGUCCUUCUGCUUACCCAUAUCAAAAUGAUGAUACAUCUCAUGUCUGGGAACAUCCGAAGCCUGAAGGACAGGCAACAUCAGAGUAACUGCUCCUAUUUGAUAUGAAUAUCAACAUUAACAUGUAGCCUCUACUCUGGAUUUCUGUUGCUAAAUAAAACCUUUAAAUUCAAUUGUCUGUGGACUCUG
ensembl:lncRNA